AGAGUUUGAUCMUGGCUCAGGAAACUGCUUGGCGGCGUGCUUAACACAUGCAAGUCGAACGAAAAGAGGGAAAGAGCUUGCUCUUUCCGGAAUUGAGUGGCAAACGGGUGAGUAACACGUAAACAACCUGCCUUCAGGAUGGGGACAACAGACGGAAACGACUGCUAAUACCGAAUAAGUUCCAAGGGCCGCAUGGCCCAUGGAAGAAAAGGUGGCCUCUACCUGUAAGCUAUCGCCUGAAGAGGGGUUUGCGUCUGAUUAGCUGGUUGGAGGGGUAACGGCCCACCAAGGCGACGAUCAGUAGCCGGUCUGAGAGGAUGAACGGCCACACUGGAACUGAGACACGGUCCAGACUCCUACGGGAGGCAGCAGUGGGGAAUCUUCCGCAAUGGGCGAAAGCCUGACGGAGCAACGCCGCGUGAGUGAUGACGGCCUUCGGGUUGUAAAACUCUGUGAUCCGGGACGAAAAGGCAGAGUGCGAAGAACAAACUGCAUUGACGGUACCGGAAAAGCAAGCCACGGCUAACUACGUGCCAGCAGCCGCGGUAAUACGUAGGUGGCAAGCGUUGUCCGGAAUUAUUGGGCGUAAAGCGCGCGCAGGCGGCUUCCCAAGUCCCUCUUAAAAGUGCGGGGCUUAACCCCGUGAUGGGAAGGAAACUGGGAAGCUGGAGUAUCGGAGAGGAAAGUGGAAUUCCUAGUGUAGCGGUGAAAUGCGUAGAGAUUAGGAAGAACACCGGUGGCGAAGGCGACUUUCUGGACGAAAACUGACGCUGAGGCGCGAAAGCGUGGGGAGCAAACAGGAUUAGAUACCCUGGUAGU
rnacentral:rRNA from 1 species